AGGGUUUGAUCAUGGCUCAGAACGAACGCUGGCGGCAGGCCUAACACAUGCAAGUCGAGCGCGCCCUUCGGGGUGAGCGGCGGACGGGUUAGUAACGCGUGGGAAUAUGCCCAAAGGUACGGAAUAGCCUCUGGAAACGGAGAGUAAUACCGUAUGUGCCCUUCGGGGGAAAGAUUUAUCGCCUUUGGAUUAGCCCGCGUUGGAUUAGGUAGUUGGUGGGGUAAUGGCCUACCAAGCCUACGAUCCAUAGCUGGUUUGAGAGGAUGAUCAGCAACACUGGGACUGAGACACGGCCCAGACUCCUACGGGAGGCAGCAGUGGGGAAUCUUGGACAAUGGGGGCAACCCUGAUCCAGCCAUGCCGCGUGAGUGAAGAAGGCCCUAGGGUCGUAAAGCUCUUUCGCCAGGGAAGAUAAUGACGGUACCUGGUAAAGAAACCCCGGCUAACUCCGUGCCAGCAGCCGCGGUAAUACGGAGGGGGUUAGCGUUGUUCGGAAUUACUGGGCGUAAAGCGCACGUAGGCGGAUUAGUCAGUUAGAGGUGAAAUCCCAGGGCUCAACCCUGGAACUGCCUUUAAUACUGCUAGUCUUGAGUUCGAGAGAGGUGAGUGGAAUUCCGAGUGUAGAGGUGAAAUUCGUAGAUAUUCGGAGGAACACCAGUGGCGAAGGCGGCUCACUGGCUCGAUACUGA
rnacentral:rRNA from 1 species